rnacentral:lncRNA from 1 species
CUUCUUCUUCUUCUUCUUCUUCUUCUUCUUCCCUUCUCCUCCCCGACGUCCCACACAUGAACUCCUCUGUUUCCUCCUACACGAAACAGAGGUGCUGCAGCCCUAGCUGCUGCAACUAUCUCUCUUUCCUCUCCCUCUUCCCUCUUUCUUCUUCUUCUUUUCUUCUCUUCUCCCUCUUCUUCCUCUCUUCUUUUCCCUACGCCCCACAGC